UCGUGAGGCAAAAGCCUGUAAAACUGCAAAAAGGAACAUUAUCUCUCCUCUCUCCCCUAGUGUUACCGGGACUCCCGUGUCUAAGAAAAAUUUGCCGCGUCGACACGCAUCCCCGUGUCGAUGUGUAUCAGACGCGGGACGACGCGCAUCGGACACUGCUAGCGCGAGUCCAAGUCCAAAAGGAGAGUUGCAAUCGCUGCUGCUGUGCUGCAAGGUGAAGUAAUAAAGCUCUAGCAGCAGUCCUGUAGUGUGUAGGGAUAAAGCAUGUGGGAGAGAGAGAGCAGGUGAGGGAGAGAGGAGAGAGAAUGUCCUUUUUGCAGUUUUGCAGGCUUUUGCCUCACAC
rnacentral:pre_miRNA from 1 species